rnacentral:tRNA from 3 species
GCCCAGGUGGUGGAAUUGGUAGACACGCAAGAUUCAGGUUCUUGUGCUCGCAAGGGUGUGCUAGUUCGAGUCUAGUCCUGGGCACCA